AGAAGAUAACUGACACCAACGGUUCUGUGUCCCGACCUCAGUAGCUCGUAUUAUUCGUCAGUCGUGGUGGAGAAUGUGCUCGAAACAGCUGCUUUUAAACGUUGCUAUUAAUAGGACAAACAGGAACAUGGCUGAGGGAGACGGAGCAGCUAGCUGGUGUUUGGCGGGCUGACGAGCUGCAGCACCUCUGUGACGCUGGUGCACCUGUUUAGCUAACAGCUAACGAGCUAGCUAACGAGAUGCUCUGAGGCUGUGGAUCCAUCGGCCUCCUCUGGACUCUCCACCAGCUCCAGAGACGGACUGUGUGUCUCACGACAAGCGUUGACUUUACUCUAGAGUACUGGAAAGAAUCGUUUCAUGUAAAUAAAUCUGAAAUCAUUAGCUAUAGUGGAUCUUCAUGUGGAUGCGUGGGUUUAUUGUAGUUUAUGCAUUGAAAGAGAUAUGGACCGCCAGAGCUCAAGCAGGCAAGACGAUAUGUCAUACUACUCGUCCCGUAGUUCAUCUCGGGCCACUGACUGUAAAGUGUACGUGGGCGACUUGGGCAAUGGUGCUGCCAAGGGAGAGCUGGAGCGAGCGUUCAGUUAUUACGGCCCACUGAGGAGCGUUUGGGUGGCCAGGAACCCUCCUGGUUUUGCCUUUGUGGAGUUUGAAGAUCCCAGAGAUGCAGAAGAUGCUGUGAAAGGCAUGGAUGGAAAGGUUCUUUGUGGUUCCCGUGUUCGCGUAGAGAUGUCAACAGGCAUGUCCAGGAAGGGCCGUGGUCGCCCCAGCCGGCGCCAGUUUGACCCCAAUGACCGGUGUUACCAGUGUGGGGACAGGGGCCACUACGCCUAUGACUGCUACCGCUUUAGCAAGAGAGGGGGUCGUCGUGGCAGCAGGUCUCGCUCUAGAUCCCGAUCUCGCUCUAGGUCCAGGUCACGCGGACGCCGCUAUCGUUCUCGCUCACGCAGCCGUAGCCACAGCAGGAGCCGUCGCCGAUCUCCAUCGUACUCCAGACGCAGGAGCAGGUCUGGCUCCCCUGCCCGCUCCAAGUCCAGGACUCCAGUGAGAAGUCGCUCCAGAUCUCGGUCUCGAUCUGGCUCAGUGCCCAGAGGCCGCUCUGUUUCCCGAUCCCGCUCACGGUCUCCGUCUGCCAACCACAAGCGCAGCAGCGUGUGGUGGGAGCUGAGCACUGCACUGACACCGCAGCUGAUCCCAGGCCCAGGGUCUGCCAGCUGGCGGUGUGUACGUCCUGCGGGAGGGUGACUAAGCGCUGACCUGAGAUCAGCCUUCGCCUGCAUCUGGUGUUAGACAGCGAGAAAGAGGUCGACCUACCGACCGACCCCUCCCCACAGUGAAUGGGUGACCGUCUGUUCAACCGACGCACACGCUCAGACGAGAUCAGCCCGUGCACACAUAGAGUUGUUCUACUAGAAUCACCCAGCCAGCCUUCAGAUCUACCAGAGGGCUGACCCACACAGAUCAGAGUUCGACCACUACCUUUUAAAAUCCAUAACCUACCUACCAGACCCCCUACCUACCAGAGUUCUUCGGCCUCUGUCUUAGCUUCUGAAAGUGAGAGAAAGAGAGCUGACGAGAGAUCAGUCUUCAAGAGCCUCCCAGCGCAGUGUCUCUCCAAGUUGUAGUCAUCCGUCCUUCAGUCCUUUCAUCCUUCGCUUCUCUGUACUUGUUGUUUCUGCCACUGUCUCCAAAGUCGUUCCCGUUCAGCAAGUCCAAACCGAAGCGCUACUCCAGCAGACGACUGAGUGAAGAAGACUAUUAGUCCCCCUCCCCCCCCCCAGACAGACCCUCAACCCCUGCACCCUGUCUGCUUUUACAGCCCUGCAGCAGCUGUUUUUGUACUUGUCUGUCUAGUCCCAGUGUUUUUGUUUUGUUUUUUUUAAGUUUAAUUUUUCUCCCCAGGAUUGUAGUCGUUGUGCAGCCUCAGAUAUAUUCAGUAAAGCAGACACAAAUCAGUUUACAUUUGAUUGUUUUAAUUGUUGCCGCGGCUGCAUAGGUCUUUCUUCUCAGAAGUCAUGUAGCAUGUGUAAGAAGCAACUCCUAUGUUAAGGAAGAACUGAAUGUUGGACUUUUAGCAGUGAUUUGGGCAGUUCAUACAGCAGAUUGCAGUAGAAGACAGAGCAGGUGGUGCAGUACUUGAGGUGGAGGACAUUGCAUUGAAGAACCUUUAUUCUCUAAGCUGAAAUGUCUGACCCUUCAAAUAUUUUUCCCUAUUCAGAAUCUGAAAAUGUUUUAUUUUGUGUUGCUCUCCAAUUUGAUUUGCUGUUUAAUGAUGGCAUAAAGAGAUAAUUGCUGGCCUGCAUGCCUUUAAAUAUGUCACAUUCCUGUUUGUUGUUUCUGUACUGCACUGCCCUUUUUACAAACCUGAUCGGCUUCACUGUGUGCUAAAUAGAGUUUUCCACGUGUUGAUUUUGGAUUUGUUCCUGUGACCUCUGAUUUUAAAAUAUACAGUGCUUCAGUUUGAUUUCUGUAAGGGCUGCUUUAACAGUUUUGUUCUGUUCCUGGCUUAUAUAGUAAGACAGUGGCAGUUUUUAUUUUUGAAUAAACCUCUUCGACAUAACCUCA